GAGGAGGAUUGGCAGCAGAUGUUACCUCAGGGCUAAUCUUCCUCAAAAAAAAAAAAAAAGACAAAAUGUUACCGAGGGUGAGGGGAGACCUGUAUUCCUAUAUGUAUAUGGUGGAGUUGUAAAUAUUAUAGCCAUUCUGGAGAGCAAUUUGGUGUUAUCAAAAUUGAAAAAGCUCAUCUAGCAAUUCACUUCUAGGAAUUUAACUGGAGAAAACCUCCCUUGUGCUCUUGAGGAGGUUUGCUGCAACAGUGUUGGCAAUACAGGGAAAAAAAAUAAAACAUCCUAAACAACCAUUAAUAAGGAAAUGAAAAAGCAAAAUGUUCAUUUACAACAGACAAUCAUAUAACAUUAGAAAGGAUAAAUUAACUCCCAAACAUCUACAUGGAUGAAUCUUAAAAGCGUGGAAUGGAGUGAAAAAAGCAAGACACAAAGAUCAUGCAGCAGGAUUACCAUUUACACAAAACUGGUGAAAUGUGAAAUACCAAUAUUUUGUAUUUCCAGUAGAUAAAUAUAUGCACAUAAAAGUAUUUUCUUUUUGAAGACUGAAAAUAUUGUCACAAAACUCAAACCUGAGGACCUCUAGAAGGCGGCAGAGGGGUUGGAAUGGGAGUACCAGGUAAAGAAGCCUUGGGGUUUAUCUGGAAUGUCCUAAUUUUAAAUGGAAAUAGUAAAACUAUAUAUUCAUAGAGUGUGUCACUUUUUGAAAAUUAACUUUAAAAAAGGGAUAGAGGCAAAUAUGCCAAAAUGUUAACAGUGAUUAAUGUUGGAUGGUGAGAAAAUGGAUGACUGUCAUCUUUUUCUCUUUUCUGAAUUUUUAAAAAUAUUUAAUAGGAAGGGUGAAAAUAUGAAAAAGAAUGAAAAGCAUAUUUUUCAUUUCUUUAAAAGCACGUGGCAAUAAACGAAGAAGAGAGUGCAAAGGAGGAGCUUCGAGAUCAGGUUCCCCACAGCCCAGGUCAAGCCCUUUCCAUCUUUUCAUCACAGUCCUCUGUGGCUCUCCACACUCACCCACCUUUUGGAUUCAUUACAUUUUAAGUUUGAUCCAGUGGAGGUGAUGCGUGUGAGCUGGUGGAGCAGAAAGCGAAAGUGAUUCCCUCCACUUCAGCCCUCAUCUCACAGGGCCCAAAGGUCAACUUUAAAAGCAAUUCCUGUUUACAGUCCUGGGAAGGCUCAGGCGCCAGACUGAGAAACACGCACACUUCCAGAGACAGUCGGCUGUUCAGUCUUUCUAAAGGGCAGUUUCGCUGUGCUCAAGAGCCUAGACGUAUCAUGUUCUUUGACCUUGUAAUUCCACAUCUGGGAAUCUACCCGAGGAAAUGAUCAGAGAUGCACACAAAGGUUAAUGUACAGAGAAGUGCGUCACAGCCUUAAUUCUAUCAACGAAAAAUGACAACAACUUAAAUGUCUCCAAAUUGUUAAAAAGGAGAAUGGUCAGAACAAGUAAAAAUUCUGCAGAAUAUUAUGUUGCCUAAAAGUCAUGUUUUCAAAGAACACUGAGGUCAGAAAAAAAACAGAAUGCAGAAUAUUUUAAGAGACAGAGAAAACUAGAAGAAUAUAUACCAAAAUAUUAUUGGCAGAUAUCCCUGAUUGGGGGGAUUAUAGGUAAAUUUUUUUCUUGCCAUUUUCUUAUAUUUUCCACUUUUUAUCCAAAAGCAUGUCUUAUUAUAUAAUCAUAAGGAAUAUUAUUUUUCAAAAUAAAUUGAGUCUAUAUGUAUGUGAUCAUAAAGAUCUUACGUAUAAUGAAAUUGAUACUAUAUAAAAUUGGGUUAUAGUUACAGCCACAUAUAUCCGUUAUUAGAGAAUUGUUAUACAUAAGCAAAUUUUCCACAUAACCAGAUUAUCCCUUUAAGCACCAACAUUUUAAAACAUUUUUCUAUUUUCUCAAUAAUUCUAAAAUAUAUAUUUAUCUGCUGUCUUAAGCAAACACUGACUUUUCUUGAUGAGUACAGGGAUGUCUUUGAGGACAAGUAUUACAUCUAGGGCUUUUUGCCUUUACACAAGUUUUUAACUGUAGCAUCAGCUUUUCAUAGUAUUUCCAUUCUUCCCUCUGUCAAGCUACCAGCAGUCCUAUUCCCUUCUUAUAAUUGCAUUCGUCUAAUGUCUCCUGCCUGAGCAAACAAGUGAGCAGUCUUGUUGGAAAAGUGGCAAAAAACAAAGCUAAAAAUCAGUAAAGUAUACACUUUUUAGUGUGUAGAAUUUGUUACACCUAUUUUCGCUUCUCAGGCCUCUGUGUUGCCCGCUUCUGUGUUCACAACUAUUUUCUACAGAGACAGUGAAGUUACCAGAAAAGUGAUUUCCAGAUAAGAGACAAGGUCGUGGUGAUUUCCUAACCGACUCAAAGAACAGUGAUCAAAGCCUGAACUCAGGGCAGCUUGAUCAAACCCAGCAUUCUCCUUGGGCCCAAGUUGGCCUUUGAAGAGCUCUUGAGUGACGGGGGCUAGUCUUACCACACAAGGACAUCCUCCACUCUCUCUUCCCAGGGUGGGCCAUGUACCAGCAGCACUGACAUCACCUGGGAGCCUGACGGACCACUAACAAGAUGAGUCUGAGGUCUCCCUUUGUCUACAAUACAAUGUAAACAGCAGCACUGGCAGUGUAGUGGGGUGGGAAGAUGAAAAAUCAAAAGCCCUACAUUUAGUGUCUGUCAUGAAUUAAGAGCUCAGUGAAUAUUGUUGUCGUUUUGAUGUUUCAAAAGUAUUUUAUUCUUUUGCAUUUCACAAAGUUUUUUGAAGUUAUGACAACCUAUAAUAGGAUUGAAAAUAGAUAUAUAUGUGGAUAUAUACAUAUAUAUGCUGUCAUCACCAUAAAAAUAGAGGUGCAAUCAUAUUUUUAAAUAUCUUCUAAUUAAAACUCACUUGAAAACGGAUUUGGAAACCAAGGUUAAACAGAAAGUAUCCAGGUGACUCAUCAAAUUUUUCAUUUUCAUUCCAUUUUUGCAUUCAUCCUAACAAAUAAUUAUCCAGAGCCUUAUAGGUGCGAGGCAGUGUGGUAGGAUGCGAAGAUGAAUCUUAAUAGUCCCUAGAGACAGGGUGCUCUCGGCUGAUAAAAAAAUAAGAUAGAUGGAUGUUAGUGAGUAAAAUCAAAGAAGAAACUGCUAAGUUCUGUUAGAGUUUGUCAGUUAAGCUAUUUUACAUGCAAGAAACUGACUCUGGGUAGUUGAAGCAAAAAAAAUGUUUCUUGGUAGGAUAUCAGGUAUAUAUUAUUCAGGACAGCCUAGGUUAUGGUGCUGUAACAAACAUCCUCCAAAUCGUUAUUUCUGGGACAUGCGACAAAUCCCAUGUGGGUCAGCAGAGGCUCUGCUCUGCGCUCACUCAGGGCCUCAGACUGACAGAGGGUUCAUGUCACCUGAAACACAGUCUCCUUGGUGACCAGGCAGGGGUCUCUAGAGACUGGAGGUUCGCAAGGGGCUUUUUACUGCCUCAGCCUGAAAGUGACAUGUGUCAUUUCUAUUCUAAUGUCAUCAGUCAGAACUAGUCACACGGUCUGCCCUAACUGCAGGGGGCUGGGAGACGUAAGGGGACAAAUGGAAUAAUGAGUGAGUUUACUGUCUCGGCUACCGGGGGCUUCAGAGACUCCAAGGAAAAGCUGAAGAAUCAGCUCGUGCUCUGAACAGGGAUCAGAGCAGCUUGGGAGAGCCGGCCAGCAGGAGCUGAUGGAGAUCCAGUCAGCUGUCCACCAUCUGCAGCCCUGUCACCCAUCUCCACAUUUGCACCGGAGGGAGAGAACAGCUGACUGGUCCAGUCAGGUUUCAGGUCCCCGCCCAGGUCAGAGGUAAGUGGACAACGUGAUUGACAGUUCCACCAAAAGGGGGAGGGAUCACCCAUCCAAACAGAAUUGCUGUGCUAUUAGAACAGAAAGGGAGGGAACGCAGGUGGGCAAGGACACAGACCUGCUCCAGACCUGGCCAGGAAACCCAAGUAUUCAGAGUUGACAGAAUCGAGAAGGUUUAUGGAAGAGGUGGCUGUCAAGAUGAGCCUUGAAGGGUGGGAUGAAUUUGAAGAGAAGGAAAGCUAAUCUAAACUGAAAGGGCAGUAUAAGCAAGUGGGGAUGCAGAAGAGCAGCAGUCACUGCAAGGAGGAGAAGACUAGUUGAGUUCGACUAGAAGAAGUGAUUUCAGUUACUUUUUCACCCCCAAAGCUCACCCGGCCUGUCUUUGUUCCACAUGGCGUCAGCUCCGGGGACACCGGGGAGGGGCUGGUUGCAAUGGCUCAGCCUCCAUCAGGAGUUUGGAGCCCUGGUCCGCCGUGUCGGCUGAGGUUCUCAGUUCUCCUCCCCUGUGGUUAGCUUACACUUCCUCACGGCACAGGGGUCUCAGCGCAGUUGGACUGCUUCUCCGGUGGCUUAGGGCUCCCGAGGGGGCAGAACCAGUGUCUGCUGGGUCGUCUUGGCCCAGACUGCGCCCAGACUGGCACAGCAUCAGGUCCUUUCUAUUCUAGGAGUGAAACUCCUAGAACUAGACUCCUAGACUCACAGGACCAGUGCCAAUUCAGAGUGGGAGGGGGCUGUGCAAGAUGGUGACUCCUGGGGGACGGGGUUAACUGGGGCCGUCUUUGGAGUUCAGCUACCAUGGAGGGCUGACGUGUACUUGGGCUUCCUCCCCACAAGCUCCAGCGUGCGGUGUGGAGUGGGCAGUGGGCAUUGUCGGAGGAAAGAGAAGUUGGGGGCUAGGCUGUACAGCCUAAAGAGUUUAAACUUCUAAAACAUAAAGGAAAAUGAUGGUGGUGCACACGGGGUGUGGGCAGAGGUCUUUGGCUUCAUGGGCCUCCCUCCAGAUUUCCCCCAGAUGUCUUACUGGCCAGAACUGAACCACAUCACCACCCCUCCUGCAAAGCAGCCUGGGAAAGUGAGGAUCUGUUCAAGGGGACGGGAUUGCUGUCUUCAGCCAACCAUCUUUCUUUCUCUUGGCGUGGGCCACUGCAGCCUGAACGACGUGGGAGGGAAGAAGGGGUACCGUGGUCCUGGGUGGGCUAUCACAGAGGCUGCUGCCAGCAACAAAAAGCAGAGAAGGAUGUUACUUUCAUUCAGAUGAGAGAGAGUUAGGGCCUAGCCGAGGGCAGAAGCAGCAGAAGAGGGAAAUAGGCCAGAUGUGAAAAUGAGUACAGAAGUGGAGCGGACAGACCAUGGCGGCUCGUGGCUGUCUUUUACGAGACAGAGGGAGAAAGAGGAGAGACAGAGAGGGAAGCCAAGGAUGACGACAUCAUUUCCAGCUUGCUUAAUUGGAUGAUGACAUUAUUAACUGAGACUGAGAACAGAGAAGGGGAAGUAAGGUUGGAGAAAGAUAACGACUUUGGUCUUGGGCAUUUGGAGUCUGAGGGGUCUGAGAGAAAGCUAGGGGGAAACGGCCACAAGGUGUGGGUCUGAGACACUAGGACAUGGGAGGACGGGCAGGGCCAGAUGUAGAGACGGGAUUAUCAACAGAGAGCUGCCGUCAGAACCACGCUGUCAGCUUACAUCUCUGCUUGUACGAGGUCCAGGGGAAUGUGCAUCCCCAGCUCCUCACAGAGGUUCCUGUGGGAAGAGGGUCUGGACAGAAUGGGCGUAGAUCCAGGGGAAACUGUGCCAUGACUUUAUAUACUUACACAUUGCUGAAGCUUUCCUGAUGGACAUAUAUCCACUAUGAGAAAGGUAUGUUCAUAAACGAGCUGAGCAAGGAGGAGAAGGACGAGGUGAAUGAUUCCACUUAGAGGAGGAUGAAAAGUAAGAGAAAAGGUGAUCAGAGACUCAGUGCUGAAUCUUGUAAGUCGACGCACGAGAACAUUUCACCAAGAAUGAGCUGCUGCGGAGGUGGAGAGGACUGGAUGAGAACUUGAAAAGGAAAGGCGUGUGUUUCUGAAGCUGUCAUGUUGAUCCUAGGAAGUGUGGUUAAUGUGUUGAUGAAAUAUGCUCAUACACACAGAGAUGUGCUGACAGGAGACGAGAACACGGCAGCCUGCAAAAGCAUUGGGCCAGAGAAAUGACAUUUCUUGGUUCCAGGAGACCAAUCAUAUUCUUAAAAUGAAUUUAUCCCACCGCUCCUCGCUUUUCAGCUUGUUUCUGACCCGCCGUAGGAGCAGCAAACAAGAAGUGUACACGUGUUACACGAACCUGUACAAGGUACACACAGUUAUUCCUGUGACAUCCUGCACCACCAUGGGACCGGUAGUUGUUGUGGUAAAAAUAUGUUGUGCAUUUGUCUUUCCCACGAAAUUUUUUCUAGCCACAAAAUUCACUAGAAUCAAGAGAAGCCUAACCCCUGCCCCCCUUUUCUCAGCAACAGAGAGACAGAGCCUCCGACACAAGAGAAUAACGAAUAACGUAGCAGAACGGGGUUAGAAGCACCGGGGAAACAAGGUCAGAUGCCAUAUGUAAUGGCUCUCUGCCAGCCAACAGCACACUGAACGCCAUGUUACAGCUUAGAUUACGGGAUGCCCCUGAUUAAAUGAACAAGGCUGUGUGAUAAGAUGGAGCAAAAACAGAGCCUGUGGACUUUGGAUUAUGCACUUGUGAGUGUUCCUCUCUCCCUUCCAGCACUUUCUUUGGCCAUGUGUUCACCUGCUUUCCUAUGGACACCCUGCAGGACUGCCCAUGAAGCCAACACACACUAGCGGGCCAAGAAGCAUUACCCAUCUAUGACCUCAGUUGGCAGCCAGCUCUUCUGCUAAUCAGAGAAGAAAAUCUUUUCCAGAAGCCUCUUCUAACACUUCCAGUCAAGUCCUACUGCCCAAGAUUAGGUCACAUGCCCAUGCCCAGCAAGGCUGGGAAGUGACAGGCUGCCGUAACGGGAGCACUCAUCCAGACCCAGUGAAACCAGCUAUGACCCGUCCAGAGGGCUGAAGAGCGCCUGCAGUUUCCACCUGCACAGACGACUUCCAGAAUGUCGACUGUCCUCUGCUGUCACCUCAAGCUGACUCCACGAGGCUGGACACAGGAUUCUUCCCCUGGUCGCGCUUCCCUGGGGACACCAGGCAGCCAUUUCUCUCUGGGCUGGGUACAGCCCCAGCUAGUCCUCAACCCUCCAGUAGCCCUGGUCCCAGAGUGGGGAACCGGCCCAGCUCAGUGCAAUUCUGGAGGCCCGAUCUCCCCAGGCUCUCUCAGGUUCAAGUUCAAGUGCCUAACACGGUCUAAAGCCAUAUUUUUCAAAGUGAGAGUCAUGGCCCAUCAAUUGCUUAUACAAUCGAUUUACUAAGUCAUGACCUGCAAUGCUUUAAUUAUUAUAUUUAUGAUUUAUUAUUACUUAAGAUUUGAAGGGUGAAAUGACUGUCUUUAAUUUAAUUAUUUGUUUGUUUGCUUGUUUUGGUCAUGCAUAUAUUUAUUUACUUUGAUCAACCACCUAACAUAUUUUUGAUAUUUUGUGCCAAACAUCUGAUUAUGAAUAUGUUCAAACAUACAAAAAGGUUGAAAGAAUUGUAUGUUAAAUAUCUAUAUUCCCACCAUCUAGAUUCUACCAUUAACAUAUAUUUUUUAAUUUUUUAGAUUAAGGUACAAUUUAGAUACAGUAAGAGUCACCCUUUUUAGUGCACGGUUCUACGAGUUUUGACAAACACAGUCGAGUAGCCACCACCACAGCCACGACACAGAACAGUUCCUUCCAUCCAAAGUGCUCACCCCAGGCCCCCGCCCCAGCCCUGGUGCCAACCCUGGCUCCUGGCAACCCCUAUUUUCUCUCCCCAUAAUUGGUCAUGCAAACAGAGUCACGCAGCAUGUAGCAUUCUGAGUCUGGCUUCUUUCAUAAUGCACAGCGCGCUGGAGAUUUUUCCACGAUGCUGUGUGUAUCAGAAGACUGUUUCUUUUUAUUGCUGAAUAGUAUUCCAUCCUGUGGAGAGACCUCUGGUUGUUUCCAUUUUUGGCAAUUACAAAUAAAGUCACUGUAAACAUUU